AUUGAACGCUGGCGGCAUGCCUUACACAUGCAAGUCGAACGGUAACAGGUUAAGCUGACGAGUGGCGAACGGGUGAGUAAUAUAUCGGAACGUGCCCAGUCGUGGGGGAUAACGUAGCGAAAGCUACGCUAAUACCGCAUACGAUCUAUGGAUGAAAGCGGGGGAUCGCAAGACCUCGCGCGAUUGGAGCGGCCGAUAUCAGAUUAGCUAGUUGGUGAGGUAAAGGCUCACCAAGGCGACGAUCUGUAGCUGGUCUGAGAGGACGACCAGCCACACUGGAACUGAGACACGGUCCAGACUCCUACGGGAGGCAGCAGUGGGGAAUUUUGGACAAUGGGCGAAAGCCUGAUCCAGCAAUGCCGCGUGCAGGACGAAGGCCUUCGGGUUGUAAACUGCUUUUGUACGGAGCGAAACGGUCUUCUCUAAUACAGGGGGCUAAUGACGGUACCGUAAGAAUAAGCACCGGCUAACUACGUGCCAGCCGCCGCAGUAA
rnacentral:rRNA from 1 species